GCCAGUACACCACUCCAUGGAAUGCCUGCUGUUGGACACUUGCAGAGCUCUGCCACCAAAGAACCUCUUGCACUGGAAAUUGGGUACUUCUCUAGGAUCUUAUGUGUGCUUGCUGUUUGAAGCUGCAGAAAAGUGAAUAAUCAAUUAAGUAUUGAUUUCUUGUAAGAUUUGGUAAAUUUCAAAGGCAAGACAAAGAGGAUGGCUUAAGGAAACACUGCAGGGACUUGGCGUAAAUUAGACAACUAACGGAGAUGCAGAAUAAAAUAACACCUCAAGUGAAGAUUUCCUUGGAAGAAUUAGCACUAGCUAUUGGAAGACAACGGUGGAUUUAAUCAAAAUAGAAGGCAUGCAAGAAUUUCACCCGUGAACGAGAAAAAGGAGCUAAUUAUAACCACCUUUUAAAUGGAGCUAAUUUGACUGAAUGGAUGCAAAUGUGCUUUACUUAUGGAUGAAGAAACAAGCCUUUCUGCAUGAUCUUGGGAUCAUUUUAUCUGCUAAGCAUUGCAGCUCCUGUGCCCUUCUACACAUUUUUAUUUCCAGAGAAGGUAUUUAUAUGUAAACAAGAGCUAACCAUGCAAAAGAUUCAUCCAUCGGGACAAUAGACUACGGUAUAUGAGCUAUAAUUAUCACUUGCAGACUCUCAGAAUCUCCUCUAACUUGGGGCUUUUGCAAUCUUUGCAUGCAGCAUGUUAUGGUAAUAAAUGAAAGGUGAAGUCUUCUUAUGAAGUGGAUUUGCUCCUUCAUCUUUCAGUACAUGAUGUCAGUCUCAAGCAAUAGCAGGCCUUUUAUUUCCCAGAAGAUACUCAUCACUGUGGGCAAACUAAUGACACAUGUUAAGGAAUUCAGUCUUAUGGAAAUCAUCUAAAGGUUUAGAAAUUAGCCACUGAUGAUCUCUAUCAAGAAGAAAGACUAUGCUAUCCUCUCAUUUGCCUUCUGAACAGCAAGAAUGAAAAUUCCAAAAUCAUAGUGGGUUUUUCAAUAUCCACACAGAAAAUGACCGUUUCGUAGUCUGGUUAUUUCAACCUUCACAAUGACCAUUUCAGUGAAGUAUUGUGACCUAACUGCCUAGAAAUCAUCUGCAACUCCACUGAAAAAAAGCUCUCUAUGGAAAGAAUAAUUCAGUGUCUCUGGAUUACUCGUGGAUGUUUGAGUAGCAAUUUCACGAUCAACCUAUUGUUUUACCUCCAACACAACUUAACCCACAUUUCCAAGGAUGAAAAUUAACUUCUUAAGAAAAAACUACUAUACAAUAAGCAAUCAAAAGUCUUGGAAGAAGGCUAGGUGGAAGAUUAAGCUAGUGUCGCUAAGCUGGAGUGGAUCGUCAUAAAUCACACAAAUGAAAAUAAAAGGAACAUUUUUAAAAUGAGAAUGGUAUCUUCGCUGUUAGCAACGUAGAGAUAUAGCUAAUGGAAACUGAAAAUGGGAAGCAUUUGUAUUCACUGUUUAAAAAGUGUGCAUAAACAUAUAUAUAACCAACAAUUGGAAGCCAAUAAUCAUCAGUAUUGAUUAUUAUUAAAGGGUUGUUUAAAUAAAUUUUUGUACAUCAACACAAGAGAAUACAGUGCAACAAAAGGUGAUGAAAUAGUCUGUUUAUCUGAUCCUACCCAAUAAUGAAUGCGAAUGCAUCUUAUUAAUACAUAUAGCAAUGUAACAUGUAUGUUAUAUAGAUAUUGAAAGUGAGUUCCAGAUACGAUAAGGAAAAAGCAAGAUAUAGAGAAAGCAUAUUAUAUGUUUCCAUGUGCAUUUGGAUAUGUAUGUAUUUUAUUGCAAUAUGUAAAAAAAAAGGGUCAAAGACAUAACUGCUCACUUAAAAGCAAACUCCAUUUCACUUUUGCUUCUUUUGACAAAUUUUAACAAACCAUAUCAAUGUUAAACCAGAAGAUAAUUUAGUUAAUGUAGAACAAUGAUUUAAAGAUUUAUAUGACAUAUUUUUGAUAUUCUAGUCAUGAAAAUCAUAAUUACCAUAGAAACAGCUUACUAUAAUGGCUCAUGCAGUAUAAAACUAAAGAAAAGCCAUUUCAUAUUGCAAGCUAUGAAAUAAUUCAUUUGGGAUAAACAACCAAGCAGUACUGCUGGCAGGAUUGCCAGGUAAAACUCUUGUGGUUAUUUGCUGACUCAAUCAAAAGUAAAAGGUUAUAUUAUUCAUUCAAUGUCAGAAAUUAAGAUAUUUGUUUGUGGUCAGAUUUUCUUGCUGUUUAAGUAAAAUACUUUGCUGUUUAAAAUGAAAUUUUACAUAGUAUUCUAGAGUUAUAUAAAUAGAUUGUUACAGAUAUUAAAGUAUAAAAUUUUAGAUGCUAA
rnacentral:lncRNA from 1 species